GUGGUCUACAGGUGCGAUUGUAAGUUUACAUACCCUCGCAGAACUUGUGAUUCUUUGGCCAUUUUUCAAAGAAUAUAAAUGAUAAUACAAAAACUUUUCUUUCACUCGUGGCUAGUGGUUGGUGAAACCAUUUAUUAUCAAAUAAAUGUGUUUGCUCCUUUUAUAUCAUACUGACAACAGAAACUAUCGACAUGACCCUGAUCAACAGUUUACAUCCCCUAGUUCUUAAUACUCUGUUUUUGGCCCUUUUAUCAUCAAUGACAGCUUCAAGUAUUUUGUGGUAGUUGUGGAUGAGGCUCUUUAUUUUCUCAGAUGGUAAAGCUGCCCAUUCUUCUUGGCAAAAUCACCUUCAGUUCCUUUAAGAUUUGGGGUU